GCUUCGGAAAAUAAAGUCUCAGCUUUAAUACAGCUAGACAUAUUAUGUAUUGUAGAGCCAAGGAGGGAAAUGCCAAAAUGACAGAGGAAAGAAGAUCUACCCAUACAAAUGUGGACAGUAUUAUACAGAAAUGUUCCCAAAGACUAUAUUUUGCUGCAGUGCUUGGAGCCAUAGCCAAAUGUUGUAUUUGAAUAUGGAUAGCCAGUUGGUUUCUACUUGAAGACUCUCAGUUUUCAGAGACUGAGAUAGCCAUCUGUGGUCCUAUUUAAGAUUAAGGGGAAAAAAAGUGAAAUUCUGAAACCUCUUGCAAGACUGGAAAACAAUUUUCCACCAAGCUUUCCUCAGAUGAGAUUGCAGAAAUUCUCUUCUGUUUUCUCCUUCAUCCCCGGCUCUCUUACCAUGCAGUUCUCUUCAUGCUGUUCUCCAAGACUAAAUCUGAGCCUGGCUGAGAUUUGUGGUAAUGAAAAAUGUUAUUUCAAAUUGGAAAGAGCACUGUACUGAGAAAUGGGAUUAUUUCCAAUUCGCUGCAAAACUGAAGAUGCACGAUGCGGUGGCCAGCAC
rnacentral:lncRNA from 1 species